rnacentral:rRNA from 1 species
GUCGAGAAUUUUUCUCAAUGGGGGAAACCCUGAAGGAGCGACGCCGCGUGGAGGAUGAAGGUCUUCGGAUUGUAAACUCCUGUCAUUUGGGAACAAUUGUCACCGAUUAACUGUCGGGGGCUUGAUAGUACCAGAAGAGGAAGAGACGGCUAACUCUGUGCCAGCAGCCGCGGUAAUACAGAGGUCUCAAGCGUUGUUCGGAUUCAUUGGGCGUAAAGGGUGCGUAGGUGGCGGGGUAAGUCUGGUGUGAAAUCUCGGGGCUCAACCCCGAAACUGCACUGGAUACUGCCUUGCUCGAGUACUGGAGAGGAGAUUGGAAUUUACGGUGUAGCAGUGAAAUGCGUAGAUAUCGUAAGGAAGACCAGUGGCGAAGGCGAAUCUCUGGACAGUUACUGACACUGAGGCACGAAGGCCAGGGGAGCAAACGGGAUUAGAUACCCUGGUAGUCC